rnacentral:rRNA from 1 species
UGCAGUCGAACGAUGAUGCCAGCUUGCUGGUGGAUUAGUGGCGAACGGGUGAGUAACACGUGAGUAACCUGCCCUUAACUCUGGGAUAAGCCUGGGAAACUGGGUCUAAUACCGGAUAUGACCUUCCAUCGCAUGGUGGUUGGUGGAAAGCUUUUUGUGGUUUUGGAUGGACUCGCGGCCUAUCAGCUUGUUGGUGAGGUAAUGGCUUACCAAGGCGACGACGGGUAGCCGGCCUGAGAGGGUGACCGGCCACACUGGGACUGAGACACGGCCCAGACUCCUACGGGAGGCAGCAGUGGGGAAUAUUGCACAAUGGGCGCAAGCCUGAUGCAGCGACGCCGCGUGAGGGAUGACGGCCUUCGGGUUGUAAACCUCUUUCAGUAGGGAAGAAGCGAAAGUGACGGUACCUGCAGAAGAAGCGCCGGCUAACUACGUGCCAGCAGCCGCGGUAAUACGUAGGGCGCAGCGUUAUCCGGAAUUAUUGGGCGUAAAGAGCUCGUAGGCGGUUUGUCGCGUCUGCCGUGAAAGUCCGGGGCUCAACUCCGGAUCUGCGGUGGGUACGGGCAGACUAGAGUGAUGUAGGGGAGACUGGAAUUCCUGGUGUAGCGGUGAAAUGCGCAGAUAUCACGAGGAACACCGAUGGCGAAGCAGGUCUCUGGGCAUUAACUGACGCUCAGGAGCGAAAGCAUGGGGAGCGAACAGGAUUAGAUACCCUGGUAGUCCAUGCCGUAACGUUGGGCACUAGGUGUGGGGGACAUUCCACGUUUUCCGCGCC